ACUCCUACGGGAGGCAGCAGUGGGGAAUAUUGCACAAUGGGCGCAAGCCUGAUGCAGCCAUGCCGCGUGUAUGAAGAAGGCCUUCGGGUUGUAAAGUACUUUCAGCAGUGAGGAAGGUGGGUAUGUUAAUAGCAUAUUCAUUUGACGUUAGCUGCAGAAGAAGCACCGGCUAACUCCGUGCCAGCAGCCGCGGUAAUACGGAGGGUGCGAGCGUUAAUCGGAAUUACUGGGCGUAAAGCGCAUGCAGGUGGUUUGUUAAGUCAGAUGUGAAAGCCCGGGGCUCAACCUCGGAAUUGCAUUUGAAACUGGCAAACUAGAGUACUGUAGAGGGGGGGUAGAAUUUCAGGUGUAGCGGUGAAAUGCGUAGAGAUCUGAAGGAAUACCGGUGGCGAAGGCGGCCCCCUGGACAGAUACUGACACUCAGAUGCGAAAGCGUGGGGAGCAAACAGGAUUAGAUACCCUGGUAGCGUAG
rnacentral:rRNA from 1 species